GGUGACUUAAAAUGAAAUAAAUGUUCAACAAGAUCCUCAUCCGUGAUCCCAGGUGACCUAUGACAAUAGAACUCCUGUUCUUUUUUUUUUUUUAAGAUUUUGUUUUUAAGCGAUCUCUUCACCCAGCCUGAGGCCCGAACCCACAACCCCGAGAUCAAUAAUCACUCGCUCCACCGGCUCCACCCGCCAGGCGCCCUGAACACCCCCGUCCUUUCGAUGGACCAGUGGCCUUCAGGAGUUCAAGCAGCUGAUUGGUCGGAGAAAAUGGGAGUCACAAAACAGUAGGUCCCACCCAGCAGAGCGAGGAGGGCCUGUCCCCUGGGCCACUAAUGCCCCAGACCUGGAAACCCGCAGUGCAGAGGGCAACAGGCUGACUGCCAUCGGGCGGUCUCACGUCCCGCCCACGGGUGUCUAUGGCGCACGUUCGACAGAGAGGCAGAGGACGGGGCCACCGCUCCGUGGAUGUGUGAAAAGUGAUGCAUUCACCUGCUGGGUUUCGGAAGGAUCUCCUCCAUCAAGGCAGACAGACGGGCGCAGCACGGGAGAAGCCGGAGGCUGGUCCCAUCGUCCAAAACAGCAGAGGGUCCAAACUAACACAGUGACUACCGGGAGUGACCCAAGGAGGCAGACAAGAAGAUGGGGUCUUGGGGCUGGAUGAUGCACGCCCAGGCUGGCACGGAGGACCCCAUCUCCAGGGACGUGUGGACGCAGGACUGGCUCCAGGUGGCUGCCUAACUGUCUUAAGAGAUCUGAAGAACGUGGGCGUCCCAUGGAACACCACCCUGGUCCAUUACGUUGAUGACACCAUGCUGAUCAGACAAACAGAUGAUCAAAACGGAUCAAAGAGGAUGAACAAAACGGGAGUGCCCACCAGAGAGCGUCCACCGUGGAAGAGGUGGCCAGCAACCAGCUAGACAAAACGACUGGGCCAGUUGGUUCUAGCCAGCCUUCGUCAUCGGCCACCUCAAAACUGGCACAUGGGUGAUGGAAUGGAGCGGCGGAGGCUCUUCAUGGACCCAUCUGCCUGGACUCCCACUGACCAUGGCCGGUCUCGUCGUGGCCACCUCUGAAUGUCCAACCCGCGUCAACAGAGCUCAGCACUAAGUGUAGGGACGGACCCUCUUCCUUGAGGAGACCAACAGGACACAGUGGCAAAGUGACACCAAGCACAGCUAAUAAAGUUUGGUUUCCCCACCACGCGGAUGGGUCUGGCCAGCGAGAGGUGGUCCCUGAGUGAAAAGGCAAGGCUCAGUGGGAAAGUGCCUCUUUGUGGUCCCCUCAGCCCUUCCCCUGGGCCUCACCCCUCUCUUCACGCAAGGAUUACAGAAAAGCAGCCUGGGGGGUUGAGAAGCCAGCUCGGGACCUUGAGGCACCAACCACAUAACUUGGUGGAAAUAGCUGUAGCCCCUGGUUAUGUCUCUGAGCCCCCAGACCAGCCCGGACCUGCCUACUCCGCGGGGCCAUCCAUACAUAAAUCCAAACUCUGCUUCAGCCGCUAUGGGAGUCUUAGAGGCUGAACUCCGUCCCCUGAAACAACAUGUAUUGUGGUCCUAACUCCCAGUAUCUCAGAAUGUGACAUUCCGAGACAGGGUCUUUACAGAGGUCAAGUUAAAAUGAGGUCAUCAGGGUGGGCCCUAGUCCAGUAUGACUGGUGUCCUUAUAAAAGGGGGAAAUUUGAGUGCAGAGACACACGGAGAGGGAAGACGAUGACAAGAACCUCGGGAGAAGACAGCCGUCCAUCUGCGAGGACAGAGGCCCGGAACGGGUCCUCCCUCCCAGCCGUCAGAAGGAACCGGACCUGACUUCUCGCCUCCAGAAUCGGGAGACGGCACGUUCCUGUUAUCUUAGCUGUCGUCAGAAAACUUUCAGGCCAAUUUUCAGAAGCUACAGUUCCACGCUUCUUAAAAAUCUUCAGCCUUCGACUGCGUAAAUCAAUGCUCAGAAACACAAGAUUUGUAUUAAAAAAAAAAAAAAGCACGCUGGGGCACCUGCGUGGCUCAGUC